CACACACACACUCAUCACACACACACCUCCACCUACACCCAUCAGCACUCCCCACACACGCCACACACACACUCAUCACACACACCCAUCGCACACACCACACACUCAUCACACACAUGCUUAUCACACACUCACACACCACACACACGCUCAUCACACACACCACACACACGUUCACCACACUCACACACACACCAAACACAUGCUUAUCACACACUUGCUCAUCACACACACACACCCCUCCACCUGCACCCAUCCCCAUUCCCCACACACAUCACACACACACUCAUCACACACACCCAUUGCACACACACCACACAAUCACACACACCUCCACCUGCACCCAUCAGCACUCCCCACACACAUCACACACACACUCAUCACCCACACCCAUCGCACACACACCACACACAUCACACACAUGCUCACCACACACAUUCAUCACACACAUCACACAUAUGCUCAUCACACCUGCUCAUUACACACUCAUCACACACACCACACACACAAACUCAUCACACAUACACCUGCACACAGCCACACACACAGGCCCAUCACACAGACACCAUGCACCACACACACACUCAUCACACAUACACACAAACCCAAC
rnacentral:lncRNA from 1 species